ACGUUAUCCGGAUGUACUCGGCGUAAAGCGCGUGCAGACUGUUCGAUAACUUGGGCGUGAAAGCUCCCGGCUCAACUGGGAGAGGUCGUUCAAUACUGUCGGACUAGAGGAUGGUAGAGGAAGGUGGAAUUCCGGGUGUAGUGGUGAAAUGCGCAGAUAUCCGGAGGAACACCAGUGGCGAAAGCGGCCUUCUGGACCAUUCCUGACGCUCAGACGCGAAAGCUAGGGUAGCAAACGGGAUUAGAGACCCCGGUAGUCCUAGCUGUAAACGAUGUGAACUUGGCGUCGGUGGGAUUAAAUCCAUCGGUGUCGUAGCUAACGCGAUAAGUUCACCGCCUGAGGACUACGGCCGCAAGGUUAAAACUCAAAGGAAUUGACGGGGACCCGCACAAGCAGCGGAGCGUGUGGUUUAAUUCGUUGCUACACGAAGAACCUUACCUGGGUUUGACAUAUAGGUUGUAGGGAACUGAAAAGGGACCGACCCUUCGGGGAGCCUAUACAGGUGUCGCAUGGCUGUCGUCAGCUCGUGUCGUGAGAUGUUCGGUUAAGUCCGCUAACGAGCGCAACCCUCGCCGUAUGUUAUAUGUGUCAUACGGGACUGCCGGUAACAAGCCGGAGGAAGGUGGGGAUGAUGUCAAGUCAGCAUGACCUUUAUAUCCAGGGCUACACACACGCUACAAUGGUCUGUACAAUGGGUAGCCAAGCCGCGAGGCGGAGCCAAUCCUGAAAGCAGGCCUCAGUUCAGAUUGCAGUCUGCAACCCGACUGCAUGAAGCCGGAGUUGCUAGUAACCGCAGGUCAGCAAUACUGCGGUGAUACGUUCCCGGGUCUUGUACACACCGCCCGUCACGUCAUGGAAGCUGGCAACGCCUGAAGCCGGUAUCCUAACCCUCACGGGAAGGAGCCGUCUAAGGCGGGGUCGGUGACUGGGACGAAGUCGUAACAAG
rnacentral:rRNA from 1 species